GACGAACGCUGGCGGCGUGCCUAAUACAUGCCAGUAGAACGCUGAAGCGAGGAGCUUGCUCUUCUUGGAUGAGUUGCGAACGGGUGAGUAACGCGUAGGUAACCUGCCUUGUAGCGGGGGAUAACUAUUGGAAACGAUAGCUAAUACCGCAUAACAAUGGAUGACACAUGUCAUUUAUUUGAAAGGGGCAAUUGCUCCACUACAAGAUGGACCUGCGUUGUAUUAGCUAGUAGGUGAGGUAAUGGCUCACCUAGGCGACGAUACAUAGCCGACCUGAGAGGGUGAUCGGCCACACUGGGACUGAGACACGGCCCAGACUCCUACGGGAGGCAGCAGUAGGGAAUCUUCGGCAAUGGGGGCAACCCUGACCGAGCAACGCCGCGUGAGUGAAGAAGGUUUUCGGAUCGUAAAGCUCUGUUGUAAGUCAAGGACGGGUGUGAGAGUGGAAAGUUCACACUGUGACGGUAGCUUACCAGAAAGGGACGGCUAACUACGUG
rnacentral:rRNA from 1 species